GGAAACGCUGUGAGAAAGUUAAGUACCUUCUGUAUUCAUAAAGCGAGCUUUGUUUGGUGAGAGAAAGCAUGAUAACGAACGGGAAAAUCCCUUUUGAGCGAUGUACUGAAAUCUUAGUAACGUACACUGGUGGCACCCUUUAUCGUGCUGGCGUAUCGCUUUUUUAGCCGUACGUGAGAUUUAAUCAUCUUUGAUGGUUAUAAAAAUAAGGUGGUACCGUGCUAUUAAGCACCCUUAAU
rnacentral:ncRNA from 1 species